rnacentral:rRNA from 1 species
GGAAUUUUGGACAAUGGGCGCAAGCCUGAUCCAGCCAUGCCGCGUGCGGGAAGAAGGCCUUCGGGUUGUAAACCGCUUUUGUCAGGGAAGAAACGUUCUGGGCUAAUCCCCUGGAGUAAUGACGGUACCUGACGAAUAAGACCCGGCUAACUACGUGCCAGCAGCCGCGGUAAUACGUAGGGUGCAAGCGUUAAUCGGAAUUAAUGGGCGUAAAGCGUGCGCAGGCGGCUAUGCAAGACAGAUGUGAAAUCCCCGGGCUCAACCUGGGAACUGCAUUUGUGACUGCAGGGCUAGAGUACGGUAGAGGGGGAUGGAAUUCCGCGUGUAGCAGUGAAAUGCGUAGAUAUGCGGAGGAACACCGAUGGCGAAGGCAAUCCCCUGGACCUGUACUGACGCUCAUGCACGAAAGCGUGGGGAGCAAAC